CGCCGGAUUAUGAAUGACGGCAGGUGCUGCUGUUUCCCCGGCGCUGCUUCUGUUGUUUUUUUCCCUGCCGCGUGGAGCUGCGAGCGGUCUGCGGACGAAGACUUCCUAAAGCGACCUCGGGAAACCCGGCUCGGGCGGGGCGGGAAUGCGCUGGCGGCCAGUGUUGACACCAAAAUGAUUCUUCAUUUAUAGGAGGACCGAGACCCACUAUGACCAAGUUAAUGGAAAAAGGCAUUGAAGUAAUGUUUUCUCCCCACCCUUGCCCUACUUGGACUCUUGAUUGGAAUACUCUUCCUGCAGCAGUGAGCCCAAAGGAAGGUAAGUGGUUUUUUUCUCUCCUUUAAAUGUUACUCUUAAUCUGGAUACCCUCUUCAGAUCCAUCUUCCAGUUCUCUAGUUCUCUCUUUGACUAUAUCUAAUAUUCUGAUCAUACUAUCCAUUGAGUUUUUGUUGUUGUUUUUUAAUGUACUUGGCGCCUUUUUUUCCCGUUCUUCUACUUCUUUAAGGGUUCUAUAAUUAAAAAAAAAAAAAUUUAUUGGAGUAUAGUUGAUUACCAAUGUUGUGUCAGUUUCAGGUGUACCGUACAGUGAAUCAGUUAUACAUAUACCCAUUUUUUCAGAUUCUUUUUCAUAUUUCUUGUUACGUAAUAUUGAGUAGAGUUCCCUGUGCUAUAUAAUUGGUCUUUCUUGGUUAUUCUAUUUUAUAACCAUUGAGAUUUUGUUUUAUCUUUAUUACAAAAAUUCUACAUGUACAUAUCACUCCAAUUUCCUACAUUUUCCUACAUUUGCUUCCUCUGUUCCUUUUUGUUUUCUUUGCUAAUGUACUUUGAAGCCUAUCCCAGAUCACAUGUCGUACUAUAGUAUAUACAUCUAAAAAAUAUUGACCUCUUAAAUAAUCACCUUAUCAUUGUCAUGGUUAAUAAAAAUUUCUUCAUCAUCUAAUAACCAGUUCAUAAUCAUCUCCCCCUAAUUGUUUAAAUUAUUGUUUGAAAACUAUUUUGAUAGUUAGAUUUUUAGUUAAAUAAUCAUAUUUUUAUUGCUAAAAUUUAUAUUUGGUUUGUUUUGGUAAUAAACCAUUCUUUGCUUGUAUUUCAGUUUCCUCUUUUUAUAAUUAUUUAAACAUAGGGAUUUUAUAUUCUGUAUUUGUUAUUUCUAUUAGCUGAUAUCCAUGGAGGUCUAAUUCUGCUGUUGUUUCUGUUGACUUCACUCCUGGUGUCCUGUAUCCCCAUUAGUUUUGUAAUUUUAGAUUAUAAAUUCAUUUUUUGGGUUACCUGAGUCUGGGAACCAUGAAGGACCUGGGUUAGGAAUGAAUUCCCAUGGAAAGGAUUUAUGUUUGUUUAUGCUAGGCAUCUUAAACUAUAGAACUUAAGGCAUUAGAACUCAAUUUAUCAUUAUUUUUUCAGGUUGAGAUUUCUUCAGCCUUUUCUCUCUGGAGCUGAACUUUAAACAGAAAAGUUAAUGUUUAUUACCUUCCUUUGCUGUUGGGUAGAGGUCUUUUUUUUUUUUAAAUGCAUCUUUUCAUAAUUAAUAUGGAUUUUCAAGAUUUUUCUUUUCAUGUACUGAUAGUAGUUUCAGUUCUCUGCCAUGGGCUCAAGGACUACCCUCUCUUCUUUGCCUUGCUCUUAAAGCCUCAAUCCCUGCUAUCAGCAAAUACCCUCCAGGCAGCUGUGGUGUCAGUUCAAGAUUAUUACAGAGCAUUUUUAGUUCCUUUCCCCCUUUAUAAGAACGUAUGGAUUUUUCUUACUCUCAGAAAUCCAGUUAAAUAUGUAAAGGAAGAUUGUUGAAAAUUAAAUGCCAUUUUAGGUAUUUUUAGGUGUUUUAUAGCUCAGUGUUCUAUUUCUUUAAUUGUUCAUGUAUUCUUUAGUUUUCUACAAAU
rnacentral:lncRNA from 1 species